rnacentral:rRNA from 1 species
AUACGUAGGUGGCAAGCGUUGUCCGGAAUUAUUGGGCGUAAAGGGCGUGCAGGCGGUUCUAUAAGUCUGAUGUGAAAUCUUGCGGCUUAACUGCAAGCUGUCAUUGGAAACUGUAGGACUUGAGUCCAGAAGAGGAGAGUGGAAUUCCACGUGUAGCGGUGAAAUGCGUAGAGAUGUGGAGGAACACCAGUGGCGAAGGCGGCUCUCUGGUCUGAGACUGACGCUGAGGCGCGAAAGCGUGGGUAGCAAACAGGAUUAGAUACCCUGGUAGUCCACGCCGUAAACGAUGAGUGCUAGGUGUUGGGGGUAUCCACCCUCAGUGCUGAAGUAAACACAUUAAGCACUCCGCCUGGGGAGUACGGCCGCAAGGCUGAA